rnacentral:rRNA from 1 species
CGGAGGAUGCAAGCGUUAUCCGGAAUGAUUGGGCGUAAAGCGUCCGCAGGUGGCAGUGUAAGUCUGCUGUCAAAGGUCAGGGCUUAACCCUGAACAGGCAGUGGAAACUACACAGCUAGAGUGCGGUGGGGGCAGAGGGAAUUCCCAGUGUAGCGGUGAAAUGCGUAGAGAUUGGGAAGAACACCGGUGGCGAAAGCGCUCUGCUAGGCCGUAACUGACACUCAUGGACGAAAGCUAGGGAGCGAAUGGGAUU